GUUUGUUCCACCGGUCACACCUGUGCUGGUGGCUGUAGCUUGCACCAGGGGUCUGCGGGGCGCGGUGGCAAGUCGAGUUGUUCCCCUGUAAGCGUGGGGAAGCGGGUGUUUCACACGCACCCCCACGGAAGCAGCUAAUGCAGUACCUAAGGACUCCAGCUGAAAUCAAGGCCCCUUUGUUUAGGCUUGGUACAAACAUACAGAGAGAGAGAGUCCCUGCUGAAGGCAAAGAGUUGUGGGGAAGGGAUAUGACCUACAAGCAGAGUGAACAAUUUGAUGAUCUACAAAUGUCAUUAGACUUCAGCAUCUGUUUCUCAAUGACAUUUUGUGUGAAUGUAUGUUUUGACCCAGUAUUACAUCUGGUUUCACUAAGGAACAUAGCACUUAAGUAAUUAGCCCAAAGUCACUUAGUCAAUGGCUCACCCUGCCUGAAAAUUCUCUACUCUUCUGGCUCCUUGUCUUUUUGUCUAGAUCACAUUGGCUCCCAAAUUUAACUAAACCUUUAUUGAGACUUUGACAGAACCUUUCAUUCCGUAUAAUAAAUCACUUUUAUUUGGGAAGAUGUCUCUUCACAAGUCCUGCAUGAAAUUUCUACAAAAAAUAUUUCUAUAGUGUUAUACAAAAUGAUAAGAAAAGCCCCAGCAUCAGUUUACAGUCUGUUGGUUUGGAGCUGUCCGCCACGGGAACCAAGACAAGCGUUGCAGGAAGUGUGGCUACUCCGAGACCCUGUCCCACAUCCUGUGCAGCAGCAAGCCCCACUCCAGAGCCUGGCAACUGUGCCACAACGCCAUCCAGAACCGCCUGGUGAAAGCCAUCACACCGUGCCUGGGCAAGGUUGCCGUGAACUGCACCAUUCCUGGUACUGACAGCCAGCUGUGACCUGACGUCGUCGUCAUCGACGAGGCCCAGAAAAAGAUCAUCCUCGUCGACGUCACGGUCUCCUUUGAGAACAGGACCCCGGCCUUUCCGAGCUCAUAAGCUGGAAAAGUACGCUCCCCUGGCUGACACCCUGAGAGCGAAGAGCUACGAGGUGCAGAUGGACGCCCUGAUCGUCGGAGCCCUGGGCACCUUGCAUAACUUGCAAUGAGCGUAUGUUGCGGACCUGCUGGAUCAGUCGACGCUACGCACGGCUGAUGCAGCGCCUCAUGGUCUCAGACACCAUCCGAUGGUCCAGGGACAUCUACACCUAACACAUCACUGGCCACUGACAGUACCAGGAGGCGUGAGCCGGAGCGACAUCGUGCAUCGACUACGAGAAAGGGACCGAGAGACUUUGUCCAUUGGACCAUAUGAACUAGAGCCAUAAACUCACUGAACGUUAAAUCUCACCAAAUGAGGGUCAAUCCAUCCUCAUCAUUGUAUCCACUCAUUAUACUACACACCUGAACAUAGCCUUUAUAUGAACAACAUACCCUCAUAUCUCAAUGUCUGUACUUUGGCCCAUUAACCCUUUACCCCCAAUCAAGGAUAUUGCAGAUUAUGUAUUCCUUACGCCAUCUGAUUUUAAACUGAACUUUGCACCCCUUGAUAAUCUGUACGUUAUUCCCUGAUAACCAGAAACUUCUACGCUUAAACUCCUUAUUGGAUCAGGGCCAAAGUGCUCAGCACCUCACAGAAUCAAAUCCUUUGUAAGCCAUAACAGCAUGUCUGAUAGAACAAAUAACGGGAGGCUAGGUGUUACCGCAAAGAGCAGGUUACAACUACAGAUGGUAGAGAAAUUGAAGAAAAAAUCCCCCCUCCCCUAAAAAAAAUUCUUGACCUUUUUUUUUGUUCAUAGAUUUCAAAAGGGAAUAACUUUCAUUUUUGAAAAUUUGGGGGUUUUCUUUUUUCCUCUUUUUUUUCCUCCUUAUUUCCUUUUAUACCAUUUCCCUCUACUUCCUUUUUUGUCACUGAAAAAAAGCAGGGGGGUGGUGAAAAAAUGGAGAAAGGAGGAAAGUAAAAAGACACCAAUUUUUCUUUUCCAGUUGAGUAAAAAAAAAAAAUUCACAAAAAAUGCUGACUCAGAGAGGACAUUUUAAAAUAUUUUUACCAGCUCUAGUUACAAAAAAUAAAAAUCCCAGACUAAAUUCAUCCUUGCUAUAACUCCACUAAAAUCAAUCAGAAAUAAAUCAGUUAACUGAAGUUAUGCAAGGCAUAAAUUUGGACCCAUAGAAUUAUUUUGUAAAGUUCAAUGUGCAUCUUUCUGAUUUUUAAAAUAUGAUUCUUACUAUUUGAAAAUAUUUCCUGUGCUUAUGAAAACAAAAUAUUGUCUUUUAGUUACAUAGUGUAUGCUGUAAUAUUUCUCUCUGAUAUAAUGCUACUUUAUCUGCAUUAAAUUCCCAUUCCAUCCCUCCAGUUAACAUUUUUUAGUACUUAUAAAAUAUCUUGUGUAAACAUAAAUACUAAUAUUUUGUUGGUUUGUGAAUGUUGUAGACAGUUAACCAGCAUAUUUGAAAUAUACAGAAAUAUAUGUAUUGUAGAGAGCAGCUUGAAUGAAAUCAGUAUCCUUUAACUAUUCCGAAAUAACUCUCCCUUGUGGACACUUGAUUCAGGAAUAAAAGUGAUUUUAUUCUGGAAUAAUUAUUGUGCUCACAAAACAGGUAAUUAUUCCAGAAUAAAGUCUCUACUAUUCUAGAAUAAGUGUCCACAUGAGGGAGUUAUUUCAGAAUAGCUAAAUUAUUCUGGAAUAGCUAUGCUGGUCAGUUUCCUCUGUGUAGACAAGGCCAAACUCAGAUUUUGAGAUGUACAGAUUUCAGCAAGCCUGGAGUAGCUGGGAUUCCGACACAUCCUUCGUUCAUUGUAUAUUAGUUAACAUGUCCAUACAGACAGUAAAACCUUUAGGUAAAUAGGGCUCAGGAUAUUCAGUUUAAAAAAAACCAACACACUCAUUUUUAAUAUUAUUUUAGCUUGAUUUUUUAAAUGCCUUUUCUAUCUAAUUCUCUUUACCACUUUAACACCUUAUCCUUAUUCUUCUGGCAGCAACCGCACCUAGAAUCUGUUUUCAUCUUUGCACUCAGCUCACGUCAUUGGAAUUCUAAGCAUUUCCAGAGGGGCAUCCUCUCUUAGACUGCUGCAGUGACAGCUUUCUGCUGACAUAAUAGGGACAAUUAGAUCAUCCCAGUGGCUAGUCUGAGGCAGCAGAGUGGUGACUAAGUGAGACAGCCAGCAUCUUCUCACUGCUAGAUUAAUCACUUAAUUGUCUGUCAAAUUACUCAAUUUCCCUCCACCAGCUCUGGGAUUAAGUGUAUGUCUAUGCUACAGUGGUACAGCUGCGGCGCUGCAGCUGUGCUGCUAUUGCACUAUAGUGUAGAUGUCUCUUAUAUUAACAGAAGGGGUUUUUCCGUCAUCAUAGUUUAUCCACCUCUUGAAGAGGCAGUAGCUAGGUCAAUGGAAGAAUCCUUCUGUCAACCUAGCCAUAUCUAAACCGAAGGUCAGGCCAACCUAACUACAGUGCUCAGGGCCCAAAAUUCUUCAUUGUCCUGAGCAAUGUAUUUACAGUGAUAUAAUUUGUAAGGAGUCUGCCAGACAACUCUCCAACACCACAUUCUACAGGCCACUAUCCUCCGAUCUCACUGAGGAGUACCAAAAGAAACUACACCAUCUGCUCAAGAAACUCCCUGCUACAGUACGGGAACAAAUC